GACGAACGCUGGCGGCGUGCUUAACACAUGCAAGUUGAACGAAGUGGCGGAUGGGCGAGUAACACGUGAGGAACCUGCCUUUCACAGGGGAAUAACACUGGGAAACCAGUGCUAAUACCGCAUAGUGAAAGAUGGCCUCGCGCCUGAUUAGCUAGUAGGUGAGGUAACGGCUCACCUAGGUGAUGAUCAGUAGCCGGACUGAAGGUUGAUCGGCCGCAUUGGGACUGAGACACGGCCCAGACUACUACGGGAGGCAGCAGUGGGGAAUAUUGGGCAAAGGCGAAAGCCUGACCCAGCAACGCCGCGGGAAGGAAGACGGUCUUCGGAUUGUAAACCUCUUCGUUACAAGGCUGGGUAGGUGGAGAAGAAGCGCCGGCUAACUACGUGCCAGCAGCCGCGGUAAUUC
rnacentral:rRNA from 1 species